rnacentral:rRNA from 1 species
UACGUAGGGUGCGAGCGUUAAUCGGAAUUACUGGGCGUAAAGAGUGCGUAGGCGGUUUCUCAAGUCCGCUGUGAAAUCCCCGGGCUCAACCUGGGAAUGGCAGUGGAAACUAGGAGACUUGAAUCUGGCAGAGGGGGGUGGAAUUCCACGUGUAGCAGUGAAAUGCGUAGAGAUGUGGAGGAAUACCGAUGGCGAAGGCAGCCCCCUGGGCCAAUACUGACGCUCAUGCACGAAAGCGUGGGGAGCAAACAGG